GAGGGUAUAGCUCAAGUGGUAGAGCGCAUGCUUAGCAUGCAUGAUGGCCCGGGGUUCAAUCCCCAGUACAUCCU
rnacentral:tRNA from 1 species